rnacentral:rRNA from 1 species
UACGUAGGGGGCUAGCGUUGUCCGGAUUUAUUGGGCGUAAAGGGCGCGUAGGCGGCGUAACAAGUCACUUGUGAAAUCUCCGGGCUUAACCCGGAGCGGCCAAGUGAUACUGUUGUGCUAGAGUGCUGAAGGGGCUACUGGAAUUCUCGGUGUAGCGGUGGAAUGCGCAGAUAUCAGGAAGAACACCAACGGCGAAGGCAGCUCGCUGGGACGGUACUGACGCUGAGACGCGAAAGCGUGGGGAGCGAACAGG